rnacentral:antisense_RNA from 2 species
CGUCAUGGCAGCCGUGCGCGGGCAGGCUUACGUCUGGCUGCGUUCCUAUAUCCGCGGUUUCUCACCUCGCGUACGGCUGCCGCCCUG